GGGAGAGUUAUAGCUCAGUGGUUGAGCAUUCGACUGCUGAUCGAGAGGUCCUCGAUUCAAACUGGGGUGCCCCCU